UACGAAGGGGGCUAGCGUUGCUCGGAAUCACUGGGCGUAAAGGGCGCGUAGGCGGCCAUUCAAGUCAGGGGUGAAAGCCUGUGGCUCAACCACAGAAUUGCCUUUGAUACUGUUUGGCUAGAGACCGGAAGAGGUAAGUGGAACUGCGAGUGUAGAGGUGAAAUUCGUAGAUAUUCGCAAGAACACCAGUGGCGAAGGCGGCUUACUGGUCCGGUUCUGACGCUGAGGCGCGGAAGCGUGGGGAGCAAACAGG
rnacentral:rRNA from 1 species